AGGGCAAGUCAAAGCCAGGCACCACAUGGAUUUGCUCGUCCGGCUCAUGUCUCACCCCUGACCACACACCAGAUGAAUUCCUCCUCAGCCUGCGUUGCUUUCUUAAGAGUUUUUGCUCUGACCACGGUGAUGCUGGUGACAGGGGAGGAAACCCGGCUCUGUAAGUAGAGACACACGGAAAAGAGCUGCAUUACACUUAAGCCCCAAACAUCUGACCGAACAAGGACUCCACGGCACAAAGAGGCGUCGUUGCUCCCCGGGGGCGGUGGGACCGUGGUCGAGGUGCAGCCUGGUUUCCUCCCUGGAAGUGGGGAGGGGGGCACAGCUCAGCUGGAGGCAGCAGGGGCCGCAGCCAGCGGGUCCGACGUACCGCCCGAGCUGCUGUACCAGGCACACAGUGGCUCUUGUGGUUUUUCAUGGCCGUGAAUGCUGAGGAGCUCUUCCAGGGACGGGCAAGUGAUUCUCGGCUUCGGUGGGGAAGACAAAGGGGUAGUGCUGUGGUCACUAGAGGCAGGCAGCCUGCAAACAGCACGGCCGAAGAAGCUCUCAUGGUCACGUCCCGGACGAUGCUUCACGGUCACAGACAGCUUUUGGCAGCACGAGGUAAAAGCUGCUCUUUGAACAGAGAAAUCUAAGCUUUUCAGUCCUUCCGGACAGGACAUCCACACUUGCUCUGGGUAAGCUGCAGCACAACAUUGCGACCCGGAGGCAUGGCGAUGCUGCCCAUCAGAAAGCAGCGUAUGCUGGUCCCCCUUCAGCAGGGUGAGCUGCGCUGACUAAAAUUGCCAGCGAAUUUUCUGCUGCAGUUCAUCACCUUUUCUAGCUGGUGCGGAAUACUGAAGGAAAAUUACCUUCGUCUGCUGUUUUUCUUGGCCCGUUCACUCAGAAACAUGGAAAGUACCUGCAGCAGAGGUGGCUUCUCAAGUUCGUCCUUUAAAUCUCUGGAAACAAAAUGAGCUCAGAGAACAAAUGAAUGAUACAUCAGGAAGGCACAUUUCUCUGGAGAGCACCUGCUCCUGCAGUUUCCAAAGAUGUCUUGUAGAUGAUCCAAAGAUGCCUCUUCAUCUACACCAACCUGUGACUUGCCUGAGAGAGUUCAGUAGGUCUCAUUGGAAUUUGUGCAGAAGUAUUAAACUUGACAUAAAACUUCUCUUUUAUUGCUGUUUUGGUCAUGUUUCUCCCCAUGACAGAUUGUUAUAUUUUCUGUUGGCUUUGUUACUCUAUAACUGGAC